CACAGGCCAGGUGGAAAGACUCAAGCGGGUGAUUAUUUGCAUCCAAUGCUACUGAUAGGACUGGGCAACCCAGGUCACUGGCAACUGUGGAAAGGAAACUUUUGGUGGGAUUGUGAGGAAAAAACUGGAAGGGAGUGGGCAGAAGUGGAGACGGGGAACACACACAGCUCUUUGGAAGAGUUUUGCUGUAAGGGGAGCAGAGACAAGGCAUGGCAGCUGAAGGGAAUCUGGAAGUCUCUGGUCUUUGAUAUUGAGCUAUACCCACUUGGGAUGCAUGUAAGUGGGUGGAAAGUCCUGGCAGAGGGGAGAACCCGCGGUGCAGGAGAGAGGGCGACUGUAGGAGAAAAGCCCUCAAGGAGUGAAGAGGGAUGGGCCCCGAGGAUGGGAGCAGGGUGGGACAUUUAUUGCCACAGAAGGGGAGGCUGAGGAUAUGGUGUCAGAUGCAGACGGGCUGAGAGUUCACCCUUCACCCUCUCUCCUAGCUCUAAGCCAGAACCUAAGAGGGCCAGAAGCUGGGAUCCAAGUCUACUUGUCCCACCCCCUCCACUGGAACUCCCUGGCCCCCAGCUCUGCACAGCUCCUGCCCUGCAGCCCUCGCCUGGCUGUGCUCCGGGAAGGCCUCGUGGGCACUUCACCCUGCUCUGCAGCCACACUCACACCCUGGAUCCAGGUCACACUAGCGGCAAAGACCCCACUGGCUCGGACUUCACCAACCUGGAGCAGGGGAGAGAAGCU
rnacentral:lncRNA from 1 species